UACAGAGGGCGCGAGCGUUGUCCGGAAUCACUGGGCGUAAAGGGCGCGUAGGUGGCCACCAUAAGGCCGCGGUGAAAGUCUGGGGCUCAACCCCGGAUCGGCCGCGGCGACUGUGGGGCUUGGGCACCGUAGAGGCAGAUGGAAUUCCGGGUGUAGCGGUGGAAUGCGUAGAGAUCCGGAAGAACACCAGUGGCGAAGGCGGUCUGCUGG
rnacentral:rRNA from 1 species